rnacentral:lncRNA from 1 species
AUCUUCGGAUCUUCAAGCCACAGGCAUGCCAACCUUACUAGGACUCCGAAGAUGAAAGUUACACCUGCCAGCCCAAAGGCUUUCCUUGGAGCUAGCUCUAGAAGACGCCUCUUGUCACAAGCUCAUGCUUCACCUUCUCGACAUGGUUUUCCUCACGUGUCUCCUAUACUCCAGAUGACUAACAGCCAUGUUACAACGAGCAGGGGAUCCCUUCCCCCUCUCCGGACUUGCUCUACUUCACAAGGGAAUCAGCAGGAUUUUCCCAACCCCCCCCC